GCCGGGGUCCCCUAAUCUGGUAUGGGGCAGGCCUGGAGAGCCUGUGGCCGUUUCGGCCUUGUGGGUUCAAAUCCCGCCCCCGGCG
rnacentral:tRNA from 1 species